rnacentral:rRNA from 1 species
AGUGAACGCUGGCGGUAGGCCUAACACAUGCAAGUCGAACGGCAGCACAGUAAGAGCUUGCUCUUACGGGUGGCGAGUGGCGGACGGGUGAGGAAUACAUCGGAAUCUACUUUUUCGUGGGGGAUAACGUAGGGAAACUUACGCUAAUACCGCAUACGACCUACGGGUGAAAGCAGGGGAUCUUCGGACCUUGCGCGAUUGAAUGAGCCGAUGUCGGAUUAGCUAGUUGGCGGGGUAAAGGCCCACCAAGGCGACGAUCCGUAGCUGGUCUGAGAGGAUGAACAGCCACACUGGAACUGGGACACGGUCCAGACUCCUACGGGAGGCAGCAGUGGGGAAUGUUGGACAAUGGGCGCAAGCCUGAUCCAGCCAUACCGCGUGGGUGAAGAAGGCCUUCGGGUUGUAAAGCCCUUUUGUUGGGAAAGAAAAGCAGCAGGUUAAUACCCCGCUGUUCUGACGGUACCCAAAGAAUAAGCACCGGCUAACUUCGUG